UGAACCGUAACACGCUUCUUCCUCUCUGUUCCUGCAGGUUCCACAUGAAGACUUUGAGAAAAUCGAGUCCCUGAAUGUGGUAAGUUUUAUAUAUAUUUAUUUACACUUUAUUCUUUGUCACUGGAUGAUUGUACAUGGGAAAUUUGGGCAUGCAUGGGUAUGUAUGUGUCUAAAUCUCUAACCUCUGCCUUUUCAAUUUUUUUCAAUGGCAGAUUGUUGAGAACAUAUGGCAUCUUCUUUCCAAAUACGUGGAAACGAUGAUUCGAGAGAGGAUUCAGCCUGACAAAGCAAUUAUCUUGCCUCGUUCCGUUUCAUCAAUGUCGAUUUUGGCAAGAAGGUAAUGAUCUCUUUCUGUACUUGGGUUAUUCCUCUUCUUGUAAAUAGAUUUCUUGUAACACCCCAAUCUUUAUGCUCAGCCCCCACAGGUAAAGUCUUGGAAAACUCAUGCGGAUCCAGAAAAAAAGCAAAUAAUGUUGGAUCUCGAUAUCAGUUAUAAUGCCGACAUAAAGGUGGAUGCUGGUUUUACGGAAAAAACCCCCAUAGCCGGCAUCAAAUCUAUAAAGCUGGAGGGAAUCUUGCGGGUAAUUUUGGCACCGCUGAUGGAGGACUCACCCAUAUUUGGAGCACUGACCGUUUAUUUCCCUCACCGUCCGGUAAGUCAAUAAGAUUUGGAGCUGAAGGUAGAAUUCAUAUGUAGUUAGGAAACCGUCGAUAUUUCUAGUUCUGUAGUCUGAACUCUUCAAUGUGACUGUGCAUUUAUUGCAGGUAUUGGAACUACAAUGGACCGGAUUUGCCCACCUAC